AUGUGGGAGCCAUUUAGGGUGCGUUUUUCAGUCCUGUGGCUUCUCCCUCACCAGAUGGAGUCUCUGGGGAGAGUCAGCGGACUCCCUCCCUGGGUCCCGGUGCCAGGGUCGGCAUCCACCCCUCAGCAGGCUCACCAUCAGCUCAGCAGCCCCCCUGCUGACUGGCCUCUGCGCACCCGGCAUUCUGUCUGGCCCCUCACAUGUGUGGUCCUGCUUAAUCCCCAUUUGAGAGACGGGGAAGCUGAGGCACGGAGCAGUUCAAGUGCACCCAUGGCCACACAUGGCUUCCAGUGGAAGGACCAGGACAGCAAAGAGAUGCCCCCCAGCAGGGCAGGGUUGCUGAGGGCCACAGAGAGGCAGGGAGGCCACAGAGGGGCCUGGGGUAAGGGCCGGCGUGGGGCAGGCAGCCUCGCCCCGUUCCCUGGUGGCUUGUUUGCCUUCUCUGUCCUCCAUCCAGCUGAGGGGGUGACGACGCUGUCCAGGGAGGCAGGAGGGAGUGAGGGUUCCAGAAGCUGUAACAGGCCAGGGAGCCGACUUUUCCUUCUUAGGGCCGCACCUGCAGCAUCUGGAGGUUCCCACACCAGGGGUCGAAUGAGAGCUGCAGCUGCCGGCUACCCACAGCACGAGCGCGUCGGAUCCAGAGCCGCAGCUGCCGGCCUACACCACAGCCACGCCGGAUCCGAGCCGCGUCUGGGACCUACACCACAGCCACAGCCACAGCCACGCCGGAUCCGAGCCGCGUCUGGGACCUACACCACAGCCACAGCCACAGCCACGCCGGAUCCGAGCCGCGUCUGGGACCUACACCACAGCCACAGCCACAGCCACGCCGGAUCCGAGCCGCGUCUGGGACUACACCACAGCCACAGCCACAGCCACGCCGGAUCCGAGCCGCGUCUGGGACCUACACCACAGCCACAGCCACAGCCACGCCGGAUCCGAGCCGCGUCUGGGACCUACACCACAGCCACAGCCACAGCCACGCCGGAUCCGAGCCGCGUCUGGGACCUACACCACAGCCACAGCCACAGCCACGCCGGAUCCGAGCCGCGUCUGGGACCUACACCACAGCCACAGCCACAGCCACGCCGGAUCCGAGCCGCGUCUGGGACCUACACCACAGCCACAGCCACAGCCACGCCGGAUCCGAGCCGCGUCUGGGACCUACACCACAGCCACAGCCACAGCCACGCCGGAUCCGAGCCGCGUCUGGGACCUACACCACAGCCACAGCCACAGCCACGCCGGAUCCGAGCCGCGUCUGGGACCUACACCACAGCCACAGCCACAGCCACGCCGGAUCCGAGCCGCGUCUGGGACCUACACCACAGCCACAGCCACAGCCACGCCGGAUCCGAGCCGCGUCUGGGACCUACACCACAGCCACAGCCACAGCCACGCCGGAUCCGAGCCGCGUCUGGGACCUACACCACAGCCACAGCCACAGCCACGCCGGAUCCGAGCCGCGUCUGGGACCUACACCACAGCCACAGCCACAGCCACGCCGGAUCCGAGCCGCGUCUGGGACCUACACCACAGCCACAGCCACAGCCACGCCGGAUCCGAGCCGCGUCUGGGACCUACACCACAGCCACAGCCACAGCCAUGCCGGAUCCGAGCCGCGUCUGGGACCUACACCACAGCCACAGCCACAGCCACGCCGGAUCCGAGCCGCGUCUGGGAUCUACACCACAGCUCACAGCAACACCAGAUCCUUAA
rnacentral:lncRNA from 1 species